rnacentral:rRNA from 1 species
GAUGAACGCUGGCGGCGUGCCUAAUACAUGCAAGUCGAGCGAACGGACGAGAAGCUUGCUUCUCUGAUGUUAGCGGCGGACGGGUGAGUAACACGUGGAUAACCUACCUAUAAGACUGGGAUAACUUCGGGAAACCGGAGCUAAUACCGGAUAAUAUUUUGAACCGCAUGGUUCAAAGGUGAAAGACGGUCUUGCUGUCGGUUGUUGAUGGAUCCGCGCUGCAUUAGCUUGUUGGGGGGGUAAUGGCUUUCCAAGGCUACGAUGGGUAGCCGGCAUGAGAGGGGGACCGGCCACAUUGGGACUGAGAUACGGCCCAGACUCCUACGGGAGGCAGCAGUGGGGAAUAUUGCACAAUGGGCGGAAGCCUGAUGCAGGAACGCCGCGUGCGGGAUGACGGCCUUCGGGUUGGAAACCGCUUUCGCCUGUGACGAAGCGUGAGUGACGGUAAUGGGUAAAGAAGCACCGGCUAACUACGUG